UCUCCUGUACUGUGUAGCUCAGUGGUACAGAAUCCGACUAGAGUGCGGAAGGUCAUAGGUUCGACUCCUGUUGGGAGAA